rnacentral:rRNA from 1 species
GAGUUUGAUCUUGGCUCAGAACGAACGCUGGCGGCGUGGAUAAGACAUGCAAGUCGAACGCGACUUAUUUGAUUAGCAAUAAUUAGAUAAGUUGAGUGGCGAAAGGGUGCGUAACACGUGGGAAUUUACCAAAAAGUGGGGAAUAGCUUGGCGAAAGCCAAAUUAAUACCGCAUGUGAUCGAAAGAUCAAAGUCGGGGACCGCAAGGCCUGACGCUUUUUGAGAAGCCCGCGGCCCAUCAGCUAGUUGGCGAGGUAAAAGCUCACCAAGGCUAUGACGGGUAGCUGGUCUGAGAGGACGACCAGCCACACUGGAACUGAGACACGGUCCAGACACCUACGGGUGGCAGCAGUCGAGAAUUUUUCACAAUGGACGAAAGUCUGAUGGAGCGACGCCGCGUGGAGGAUGAAGGUUUUCGGAUUGUAAACUCCUGUUCACGUGCAGAACAAGGGUACGCGUAGUUAACAGCCAGCGUAUUUGAUGGUAUGCGGAGAGGAAGGGACGGC